rnacentral:lncRNA from 1 species
UGCAACUGUUUCCCCGACUGCUAUUUUAUUUAAUAAAAACCAAACCAACCCCAGCAGAGAGGUAGAAAGCAGCAACUGAGAGCGUGCUCCUGCACACCACACAGGCUUUGCUGCCACAGCGCGCAAUGGUGGCUGAGUCCCCUUGCCCUGCCAGAAUCCUUCUGUAGCUUCAAAGCCAGCAAGGCCUGAUAGUCCCGCGCAUGCGUCUAAAGUACAGCUUCGCCUUCUCGUCUCUACCCCCUUCAGUCUCUGGUGACGUGCAAUGCGGAGGCGGAGCCCGAGCCUGUGGCGGGAGUGGGGGAGGAACUGCGAGGUGUGUGUGGACGUCAGACUGGAUAGCGGAAGGUCAGGGCGGCCCGGAGCGGAAGUGGGGCUCUGGAGCUUGUCCGCCAUUGUGGGCCCGAGGAUCGGAGGACGAGCGGGGACGAGCAGUGUGCAGGCGGCGAGCUCGGGCCCCUUCCGCGACUCCCGAGCGCGAGCCCGCUUCCUGGAGCCUACAAGAGCGGCAGCGGCAAAGGCAGAGCUUCGCGAGGGCGACAGUCGACUGCUGUGAGUGCUCUCGGAGAGGCCCAGGCGGCGGCGGUUCCUCUCGGGUUACGGUGAAGAAUGUCAGCCACUAGCGUGGAUCAGAGACCUAAAGGGCAAGGAAAUAAAGUUUCAGUACAAAAUGGUUCGAUUCAUCAAAAAGAUGCUGUAAAUGAUGAUGAUUUUGAGCCAUACUUAAGUAGCCAGACAAAUCAGAAUAACAGCUAUCCACCAAUGUCAGAUCCAUAUAUGCCUAGUUACUAUGCUCCAUCCAUUGGAUUUCCAUAUUCUCUUGGGGAAGCAGCAUGGUCCACGGCUGGAGAUCAGCCCAUGCCAUAUCUGACAACCUAUGGACAAAUGAGUAAUGGAGAACAUCAUUACAUACCAGAUGGUGUUUUUAGUCAACCAGGGGCAUUAGGAAAUACCCCUCCAUUUCUUGGUCAACAUGGAUUUAACUUUUUUCCUGGUAAUGCUGAUUUCUCUACAUGGGGAACAAGUGGAUCUCAGGGACAAUCAACACAAAAUUCUGCUUAUAGUAGCAGUUACGGCUAUCCACCUAGUUCUCUUGGGAGAGCUAUUACUGAUGGACAGGCCGGAUUUGGCAAUGAUACUUUGAGUAAGGUGCCUG